UGAAAAUGCGGAUUAUAAAAAAGUAUAUUAAAGAAAAGGACUACAUUUCCCAGAAUGCACCUGCACCCACUCAUCUGACUGCCCCCACCCUUCAGGUGCGACUGCUCAACCUAUGGGCUUGACGGAAAAUUCAAAUCGCGAACCGUUACUGCCUGGACUACUCCGUCUCUUGUUUGUUUGUUUGCUUGCUCAUUAACAGUAAGAGGUCAUGUACACUGUGGUCAACUUUGUGGACGAUGAAGAGGUUUCUGGGUAAAGAUGAUAGAAAUAUAAUGAAGUAACAGUGAAAGCUAAAACAUCAGACUGAUCCAGACACUGAAGAAAUUGAUGUCACUGCAAUCUGGCCAAAAUGAUACAACUAUAUUGAAGUAGCCUACUGUAAUGAAGCUGCAGAACAACACAGAGACUCUUGAGGACAUCAACACAGAAAAUGAAGGCUCCAAAGAGAUGUCUGUCCAGAUGAGGGUGCAUCAAUGUUACGUUUGCUGACAAGUAUAUGCUUUACAAUGUAAAACCUAACAGUUAACUUAACUCAAACCAUUUAAGGAAAUCGGUUGCCUUAACCCAUU